UACAGAGGUCUCAAGCGUUGUUCGGAUUCAUUGGGCGUAAAGGGUGCGUAGGCGGCGCGGUAAGUCGGAUGUGAAAUCUCGGAGCUUAACUUCGAAACUGCAUUCGAUACUGCCGUGCUUGAGGACUGGAGAGGAGACUGGAAUUUACGGUGUAGCGGUGAAAUGCGUAGAUAUCGUAAGGAAGACCAGUGGCGAAGGCGGGUCUCUGGACAGUUCCUGACGCUGAGGCAUGAAAGCGUGGGGAGCAAACAGG
rnacentral:rRNA from 1 species